GACAGAGGAUGCAAGCGUUAUCCGGAAUGAUUGGGCGUAAAGCGUCUGUAGGUGGCUUUUUAAGUCCGCCGUCAAGUCCCAGGGCUCAACCCUGGACAGGCGGUGGAAACUACCAAGCUGGAGUACGGUAGGGGCAGAGGGAAUUUCCGGUGGAGCGGUGAAAUGCGUAGAGAUCGGAAAGAACACCAGUGGCGAAGGCGACACACUGGGCCAUUACUGACGCUGAGGCUCGAAAGCGUGGGGAGCAAACAGG
rnacentral:rRNA from 1 species